GGUGUGUAUACCAAACAGCGAACGCUCUCCUAAGCGGGUCGCAGCUGUCCGCGUAACGCUUCCAAUAAUCAUGAUACGUGCCAUAGAUCAACACAGAUAGUACGGAGAACAAUCUGAACGCAACUGUCCAGCGCUGAAGCGUGUCAGUCCAGAGGGGUCUCCUUCAGUCGAGGAAAGACCUGUCGCGGCUUUUUUGCAGCACCAUUGAGAGACAAUGUGUGUUUGCUAGCUGUUGUCACAAGUGUCGUGGGCGUCGUCGUCUUGGUGCGCUCAAGAUCACAGCGGAACGGAUUUCCGGUCGGCUCAUCUUGCAGCGCUUGGGAAUGCUGUAGUGGACGCAAUGCGGCAAUACUUACGAUGCAACUCCAAGAGCAGUUGAAAACUUACCGCGUUAAUGACUCAAGUCGUUUGUCAAGGUGGGCCACGCGCUUCGCUUGACAUUUCACUCCCUCGAGUCACACUGCCUUAUCGCCCGGGUAAUUAGUUAUACUGCAGCUAAUUACGUGCCCGUGUUGUCAUAUCGUGCUAGCGAUUUCCCUCAAAGAUAGAGAAAACCAAAGGGAAUAUUACCGGCGCAUCCAAGCAUCUCCUGUUGAGCUUUUGC